rnacentral:rRNA from 1 species
CCCUUAGAUGUUCUGGGCCGCACGCGCGCUACACUGACGGAGGCAGCGAGCUUGUCCUUCGCCGAGAGGUGUGGGGAAUCUUGUGAGUCUCCGUCGUGCUGGGGAUAGAUGGUUGCAAUUGUCGAUCUUGAACGAGGAAUUCCUAGUAAGCGCGAGUCAUCAGCUCGCGCUGAUUACGUCCCUGCCCUUUGUACACACCGCCCGUCGCUACUACCGAUUGGAUGGUUUAGCGAGAACUUUGGACCGGAGCUCGGGUGGUCAGCAAUGGCCGCCCGAGACAUACUGGGAAAUCGCUCCAGCUUGAUCAUCUAGAGGAAGUAAAAGUCGUAACA